rnacentral:lncRNA from 1 species
AACUACACAAUUUCGCUUUUCCUUUCAAAAGAAAAAUGAUGGAGACCCAUAGAUGAAGAAAUAAAAUAGUACAAGCGAAAUGGCUUGUAGCCUGAUGGUUACAAAGGCAUUAAUAGCACCUAAGGUCCUGAGUUCGACUUCUCGUUGGAGCGAGUUUUUCUUCAGUACUCUAAUGGCUUUGUGCUUUUAGUGAAAGACGUCGGGCCAGUCUUCGGGGCUCUCAUUAAAAAAAAUAAAGAAAUAAAAUAAUACAAAGUUGAUUGAUGUUAGGUAUAAAAGCUUAUCAAUUGAAAAUAAAGUAUUGCCUUAUGAUUAUAAAAUCUUUUAUAUUGUUCGAUAAAUUUGAAUGACAAAAUCCUGCCUAAUAUUAUAGGACAGGCUGGACAGCUAUAAUACUAUAUUAGAGUUUGAAAGGGUGGUGAACAUAUAUAUUGGAUUUUAAAAUGUACUGUGCACUAUAUUUUCGUACUGGUAUGAGACAGGCUAAAAUAAAAGUCUUUCUUUAGAGCGGAUGGAGUGCUUUUUUUAUUUGUAACCCG